rnacentral:rRNA from 1 species
GACGAACGCUGGCGGCGUGCUUAACACAUGCAAGUCGAACGAUGAAGCUAGAGCUUGCUCUGGUGAAUUAGUGGCGAACGGGUGAGUAACACGUGAGUAACCUGCCCCGAACUCUGGGAUAACUGCUGGAAACGGUAGCUAAUACUGGAUACGACCUACGAAGGCAUCUUCUGUGGGUGGAAAGAAUUUCGGUUCGGGAUGGACUCGCGGCCUAUCAGCUUGUUGGUGAGGUAGUGGCUCACCAAGGCGACGACGGGUAGCCGGCCUGAGAGGGUGACCGGCCACACUGGGACUGAGACACGGCCCAGACUCCUACGGGAGGCAGCAGUGGGGAAUAUUGCACAAUGGGCGCAAGCCUGAUGCAGCAACGCCGCGUGAGGGAUGACGGCCUUCGGGUUGUAAACCUCUUUUAGUAGGGAAGAAGCGAAAGUGACGGUACCUGCAGAAAAAGCACCGGCUAACUACGUGCCAGCCGCCGCAGUAA